CAAUAGCGUAUAUUAAAGUUGUUGCAGUUAAAAAGCUCGUAGUUGGAUUUCUGGUAGGAGUGACCGUUCCGAACUUGAUUGUUCGUGUAUUGUGUUUUCUCCAGCCAUCCUUGUGGAGAACUCUUCUUGCAUUAAUUUGUAGGGAUUGGGACCCGCAUCGUUUACUGUGAAAAAAUUAGAGUGUUUAAAGCAGGCAAUCGCUUGAAUACAUUAGCAUGGAAUAAUAAGAUAGGACUUUGGUACUAUUUUGUUGGUUUGCAUACCAAAUUAAUGAUCAACAGGAACAGUUUGAGGAUAUUCGUAUGAACAUGUCAGAGGUGAAAUUCUUGGAUUUUGAUCAGACGAACUACUGCGAAAGCAUUUAUCAAGGAUGUUUUCAUUAA
rnacentral:rRNA from 1 species